GAUGAAGAACGUAGCGAAAUGCGAUACGUAAUGUGAAUUGCAGAUUUCAGUGAAUCAUCGAAUCUUUGAACGCACAUUGCGCCCGCUAGUAUUCUGGCGGGCAUGCCUGUUCGAGCGUCAUUUCAACCAUCAAGCCCUAGGCUUGCGCUGGAGCCCUGCGGCUGCCGCAGGCUCCCAAAUCCAGUGGCGGGCUCGUCGUCGUACCGAGUGCAGUAAACAUCCUCGCUCAGGGAACGUGACGGGUUCUUGCCGUGAAACCCCCCACAUAUCAAGGUUGACCUCGGAUCAGGUAGGAAUACCCGCUGAACUUAAGCAUAUCAUAAGCGGAGGA
rnacentral:misc_RNA from 1 species